rnacentral:rRNA from 1 species
CCUACGAGUGGCAGCAGUGGGGAAUAUUGGGCAAUGGGCGCAAGCCUGACCCAGCAACGCCGCGUGAAGGAAGAAGGCUUUCGGGGUGUAAACUUCUUGUGUCAGGGAAGAGUAGAAGACGGUACCUGACGAAUAAGCCACGGCUAACUACGUGCCAGCAGCCGCGGUAAUACGUAGGUGGCAAGCGUUGUACGGAUUUAAGGGGUGUAAGGGGAGGGUAGCAGGGGGGACAAGUCAGAGGUGAAAUCCUGCGGCUUAACCGCAGAACUGCAUUUGAAACUGUUGAUCUUGAGUACUGGAGAGGCAGAUGGAAUUCCUAGUGUAGCGGUGAAAUGCGUAGAUAUUAGGAGGAACACCAGUGGCGAAGGCGGUCUGCUGGACAGCAACUGCCGGUGAGGCGCGAAAGCGUGGGGAGCAAACAGGAUUAGAUACCCCUGUAGUC